GAAUAACUCUCGACAGUGGAUAUCUCAGCUCUUGCAGCGAUGAAGGACAUAGUGAAAUGUGAUACUUAAUGUGAAUUAUAGAAUCUUGUCAGCCAUCGAGUCUUUGAACAUGAGUUGCACCUGAAACCAUUAAGUUGAGGUGCAAUUGAAACCAUUA
rnacentral:rRNA from 2 species